AGGAGUGUAGCUCAAUUGGUAGAGUAUCGGUCUCCAAAACCGACGGUUGGGGGUUCGAAACCCUCCACUCCUGCCA
rnacentral:tRNA from 1 species